CCUACGGGUGGCUGCAGUGAGGAAUAUUGGUCAAUGGGCGCAAGCCUGAACCAGCCAAGUCGCGUGAGGGAAGACGGCCCUACGGGUUGUAAACCUCUUUUGCCGGGGAGCAAGCCUGAGCACGUGUGCCCAGGCGGAGAGUACCCGGAGAAAAAGCAUCGGCUAACUCCGUGCCAGCAGCCGCGGUAAUACGGAGGAUGCGAGCGUUAUCCGGAUUUAUUGGGUUUAAAGGGUGCGCAGGCGGGCUGUUAAGCCGGCGGUAAAAAUUCAGGGCUCAACCCUGUCGAGCCGUCGGAACUGGCAGCCUUGAGUGGGCGAGAAGUAUGCGGAAUGCGUGGUGUAGCGGUGAAAUGCAUAGAUAUUAGGAGGAACACCAGUGGCGAAGGCGGCUUACUGGACUGUAACUGACGUUGAGGCUCGAAAGCGUGGGGAGCAAACAGGAUUAGAUACCCCGGUAGUC
rnacentral:rRNA from 1 species